AUUGAACGCUGGCGGCAGGCCUAACACAUGCAAGUCGAACGAGCGGCGGACGGGUGAGUAAUGUCUGGGAAUCUGCCCGAUGGAGGGGGAUAACUACUGGAAACGGUAGCUAAUACCGCAUCCCAUCGCAUGUGCCCAGAUGGGAUUAGCUAGUAGGUGGGGUAACGGCUCACCUAGGCGAAGAUCCCUAGCUGGUCUGAGAGGAUGAACAGCAACACUGGAACUGAGACACGGUCCAGACUCCUACGGGAGGCAGCAGUGGGGAAUAUUGCUCAAUGGGAGCAAGCCUGAUGCAGCCAUGCCGCGUGUAUGAAGAAGGCCUUCGGGUUGUAAAGUACUUUCAGCGGGGAGGCGUUACCCGCAGAAGAAGCACCGGCUAACUCCGUGCCAGCAGCCGCGGUAAUAC
rnacentral:rRNA from 1 species